rnacentral:rRNA from 1 species
CCCGCUGAACUUAAGCAUAUCAAUAAGCGGAGGAAAAGAAACCAACAGGGAUUGCCUCAGUAACGGCGAGUGAAGCGGCAACAGCUCAAAUUCGAAAUCUGCCUCUAGGCCGAGUUGUAAUUUGUAGAAGAUGCUUCGGGUGUGGCACUGGUCUAAGUUCCUUGGAACAGGACGUCAUAGAGGGUGAGAAUCCCGUAUGUGACUGGCUGCCUUCGCCCAUGUGAAGCUCUUUCGACGAGUCGAGUUGUUUGGGAAUGCAGCUCAAAAUGGGUGGUAUAUUUCAUCUAAAGCUAAAUAUUGGCCAGAGACCGAUAGCGCACAAGUAGAGUGAUCGAAAGAUGAAGAGCACUUUGGAAAGAGAGUUAAACAGUACGUGAAAUUGUUGAAAGGGAAGCGCUUGCAAUCAGACUUGCGCGCCGUCGAUCAUCCGAGGUUUUCCCCGGUGCACUCGGCGGUGCUCAGGCCAGCAUCGGUUUCGGUGGUUAGAUAAAGGCCUUGGGAAUGUGGCUCCUCCGGGAGUGUUAUAGCCCUCGGUGCAAUGUAGCCUACUGGGACCGAGGACCGCGCUUCGGCUAGGAUGCUGGCGUAAUGGUUGUAAGCGACCCGUCUUGAAACACGG